rnacentral:rRNA from 13 species
UGAUGAAAUGGCGUGCAUUAAAAGAAUUGGCAGGGGGGCGCCACAUCGGUGUGUGCGGGUAUAAUGUAUUCCUCG